rnacentral:rRNA from 1 species
UACGGAGGGGGCUAGCGUUGUUCGGAAUUACUGGGCGUAAAGCGUGCGCAGGCGGUUGUGCAAGACAGAUGUGAAAUCCCCGGGCUCAACCUGGGAACUGCAUUUGUGACUGCACGGCUAGAGUGUGUCAGAGGGGGGUAGAAUUCCACGUGUAGCAGUGAAAUGCGUAGAUAUGUGGAGGAAUACCGAUGGCGAAGGCAGCCCCCUGGGAUAACACUGACGCUCAUGCACGAAAGCGUGGGGAGCAAACAGG